ensembl:snRNA U6 U6 spliceosomal RNA
GUGCUUGCUUCAACACACACAUACCUAGCAUUGAAAUGAUACAGAGAAGAUUAGCAUGGCCCUUGGACAAAGAUGACAUGAAAAUCGUGAAACGUUCUAUAUUUUU